rnacentral:rRNA from 1 species
AUUGAACGCUGGCGGCAGGCCUAACACAUGCAAGUCGAGCGGAUGACGGGAGCUUGCUCCUUGAUUCAGCGGCGGACGGGUGGGUAAUGCCUAGGAAUCUGCCUGGUAGUGGGGGACAACGUUUCGAAAGGAACGCUAAUACCGCAUACGUCCUACGGGAGAAAGCAGGGGACCUUCGGGCCUUGCGCUAUCAGAUGAGCCUAGGUCGGAUUAGCUAGUUGGUGGGGUAAUGGCUCACCAAGGCGACGAUCCGUAACUGGUCUGAGAGGAUGAUCAGUCACACUGGAACUGAGACACGGUCCAGACUCCUAAGGGAGGCAGCAGUGGGGAAUAUUGGACAAUGGGCGAAAGCCUGAUCCAGCCAUGCCGCGUGUGUGAAGAAGGUCUUCGGAUUGUAAAGCACUUUAAGUUGGGAGGAAGGGCAGUAAGUUAAUACCUUGCUGUUUUGACGUUACCGACAGAAUAAGCACCGGCUAACUCUGUGCCAGCAGCCGCCGUAAGAC